GAUGAACGCUGGCGGCGUGCCUAAUACAUGCAAGUCGAGCGAACAGACGAGGAGCUUGCUCCUCGGACGUUAGCGGCGGACGGGAGAGUAACACGUGGAUAACCUACCUAUAAUACUGGGAUAACUUCGGGAAACCGGAGCUAAUACCGGAUAAUAUAUUGAACCGCAUGGUUCAAUGGUGAAAGACGGUUUUGCUGUAUCUUCUAGAUGGUUCCGAGCCGCAUGAGCUAGUAGGUAAGGUAACGGCUUACCAAGGCUACGAUGCGUAGCCGACCUGAGAGGGUGAUCGGCCACACUGGAACUGAGACACGGUCCAGACUCCUACGGGAGGCAGCAGUAGGGAAUCUUCCGCAAAGGGCGAAAGCCUGACGGAGCAACGCCGCGUGAGUGAUGAAGGUCUUCGGAGCGUAAAACUCUGUUAUUAGGGAAGAACAAAUGUGUAAGUAACUAUGCACGUCUUGACGGUACCUAAUCAGAAAGCCACGGCUAACUACGUG
rnacentral:rRNA from 1 species